UACUAGAGUAGCACUCGCAUAUCAAUAAGCGGAGGAAAAGAAACUAACAAGGAUUCCCCUAGUAACGGCGAGUGAAGCGGGAAGAGCUCAAAUUUGAAAUCUUAAAGGGUUUCCCUUUACGAAUUGUAGUUUAAAGAAGUGUUUUCUGUUGAGGUUUUGGUAAAAGUUCUUUGGAAUAGGACAUCAUAGAGGGUGAGAAUCCCGUAUUUGACCUUUACUUUCAACUUUGUGAUACACUUUCAAAGAGUCGGAUUGUUUGGGAAUGCAGUCCAAAAUGGGUGGUAAAUUUCAUCUAAAGCUAAAUAUUGGCGAGAGACCGAUAGCGAACAAGUACCGUGAGGGAAAGAUGAAAAGAACUUUGAAAAGAGAGUUAAACAGUACGUGAAAUUGUCAAAAGGGAAGCGUUUGACACCAGUGUUGUUUUUCUGAAAAUCAAUUAAGGAACUGUUUAUGCUAAGUUGUUUAGACUUUAUCAGCUAUCUGUUUAGUUUUGAGCUUUUCUUUAAUGCACUUUUCAGUUAACAAGUCAACAUCAAUUUCCUUUGCUGUAAAAAAGCUUGAGGAAGGUGGCUUGAGAUUCGUCUUAAGUGUUUAUAGCCUCUUGCCUAUGCAGUCGGAGAGAUUGAGGUCUGCAGCGUAGAUCCUUCGGGGCUAAAUGCAUUUGUGCUAAGUUAUAGCAUUUUAUAGACAACUUGUUGACUAUGAUUUGUCUUGUAGCUUACUCGCUUAUGUUAUUUUACCUACGCUUAGGAUGUUGAACUACUGAGACAUAGA
rnacentral:rRNA from 1 species